rnacentral:rRNA from 1 species
UCAGAACGAACGCUGGCGGCGCGUUUUAAGCAUGCAAGUCGAACGGUAGUCAGGUGCUUGCACCUGAUGAGAGUGGCGAACGGGUGAGUAACACGUAGGUGAUCUACCUAGAAGUUGGGGAUAGCCUGUGGAAACACAGGGUAAUACCGAAUGAGCCUAUAUACAUACGUGUAUGUAGGGAAAGAGGCUCAGGCCUCGCUUGUAGUUGAGCCUGCGGCUCAUUAGCUAGUUGGGAGGGUAAAGGCCUACCAAGGCGACGAUGAGUAGCCGACCUGAGAGGGUGGGCGGUCACACUGGGACUGAGACACGGCCCAGACUCCUACGGGAGGCAGCAGCUAAGAAUCUUCCGCAAUGGUCGAAAGGCUGACGGAGCGACGCCGCGUGGACGAAGAAGGCCGGAAGGUUGUAAAGUUCUUUUCUCAGAGAAGAAUACGGUGAGGAGGGAAUGCCUCAUUGAUGACGUUAUCUGAGGAAUAAGCCCCGGCUAAUUACGUGCCAGCAGCCGCGGUAACACGUAAGGGGCGAGCGUUGUUCGGAAUUAUUGGGCGUAAAGGGCGCGUAGGCGGCUGAACAAGCCUGGUGUGAAAGGCCACAGCUUAACUGUGGGAGUGCGCUGGGAACUGUUUGGCUAGAGUUCAGGAGGGGAAGCUGGAAUUCCUGGUGUAGGGGUGAAAUCUGUAGAUAUCAGGAAGAACACCUGUGGCGAAGGCGAGCUUCUGGCCAUGAACUGACGCUGAGGCGCGAAAGCGUGGGGAGCGAACAGGAUUAGAUACCCUGGUAGUCCACGCUGUAAACGAUGUGCACUAGGUGUCGGUCGUCGAACUGAUCGGUGCCGAAGCAAACGCGAUAAGUGCACCGCCUGGGGAGUAUGCU